rnacentral:lncRNA from 1 species
AAAGGAAGGAAGGGCUGCCCUCAAAGCCAUGCACACAGUCUUCUUCCAUGACAACAAGUAUUCUCAGUCAGAUGUUUAUACUUUUCAUAAUGGAAAUCAGAGAUUUUUAUUUUAACUGCUGUUUUUCUUUACACACACACACACACAUAUCCACUUCUUUCUCCAGUCCUUCAAGUGAUAAAUAUAUUUAUUCCUUAGGAUUAUAAAAGAAUUAAAUAUGAGUGAAUUGUCUGAUCCAUGUAUGAUCUUUUUGGGGGGUGGGUCGGGAGCGGCGUUUAAGACAGUGUUUCUCUGUGUAGUCCUGGCUGUCCUGGAACCCAGGCUGUAAACCAGGCUGACCUUGAUCUCAGAGAUCCACCUGCCUCUGCCUCCCAAGUGCUGGGACCACCACUGCCUGGCGUCAUAGUAGGAUCUUAACAGUAUAAAUUGUGCUUAUCCAUAUAUUGCUUCUUCCCUUGUAUACCAUGUUUUUAAGGUACUCUUGCUCUAUAUGACAGAUUUAAAUGUCUAAUAAGAUUUCAAAUAAUUACCCCCAGAUAACAUAUAAUCAUUACAGUGUAUAAC